UUUGUUGUUGAAGUGAAACGGGUGCGCGACCACGAGGAAGGAUGGUGAGGGAGGAAACCGCGCUUUGUUGGUGAGGUGAGCUGGGUGCGCGAUCACGAGGAAGGAUCGCGAGGGAGGAAACCGCGCUUUGUUGUUGAGGUGAAACGGGUGCGCGACCAUGAGGAAGUCUGGCGAGGGAGGAAACCGCGCUUUGUUGGUGAGGUGAAACGGGAAAAGGCGGUUUGUUGGUGAGGUGAAACGGGUGCACGAUCCCGAGGAAGUAUUGCCAGGGAGGAAACCGCGCUUUGUUGGUGAGGUGAGCCGGGUACGCGACCACGAGGAAGGAUGGCGAGGGAGGAAACCGCGCUGUGUUGGCAACUGUGUCUAGUUUUCCCUUUGUUGUUGGUUACCUUUGCUGGACUCUGCUGUGACACACCAGACGUGCUAGCUGAGGAAGUGGGGUCAGAAGCAAUAUUCCUGAACUUUGGGGUCACCUCUCACCCACUGUUCUUCCCGGUGCUACCAUAGCGUUUGCUCCACGAACCCUGAAGUCACUGAUGGACAUCACGCAUUCCACUUUCAAGGAUUCCUGUAAGCUUAUGAAGAAGGACAAGGCAAUAUCAUGGA
rnacentral:lncRNA from 1 species